UUUAUUGAGAGUUUGAUCCUGGCUCAGGACGAACGCUGGCGGCGUGCUUAACACAUGCAAGUCGAGCG
rnacentral:rRNA from 1 species